rnacentral:lncRNA from 1 species
GCCUUUGGAUCUCACUUCUCCGUUCUAAUCGUGGCCAUGCAUUGUGUUUACUAUUUUUAAUCCAGCGUGUGAUGCGUUUGACUGAGGAUCACCAUGCGUGCGCGCUUCUGGACCACUUGAUUGUCCAUGUCCAUUAAUGAAGCUGAAUCACGCGCUCCUGAUUUUUUCUAUUUUCCUAUUUUUUGUUUUAUUUUCUUUUAUUCCAUUUAUUUUCAAAAAUUCAUAACUCUUUUAUUUGGAAUCACAAAAAUAUGAGACCAAUUGCAAAAUAUUUCUUUUAAAAUCUAGUUUCAUAAUCUGAUUUUUAAUUAUUUUUGUGAUUCCAUUUAAUAUUUUUUGUGAAUUAUCUUGUUUUUAAUAGUUUU